rnacentral:lncRNA from 1 species
GGUCGGUUUCAGAGGGCUUCUUGCUGAGACUUGUUAGCAUAGCUAAUUAUGUGGGAGCUUCUCUGACGACAAAGACUGAGUUGAUUAGAAAAGCUGGUCUGCAACUCGAGGAGGCAACUCUUGCAGACCUCUUGUUGCCUUCCCAGUCAUCCUCUCAUCAUCAUCGAUAUGAUACUGACUUGGUUGCUGCGGUUCUUGACAGUUUUCUAAUGCUCUGGAGAAGACAGACUUCUGCGCAUGUUUCUAGUAACAGUCAGUUGCUACAUUCAAUCAGGAAGGUGGCAAAGCUUAUUGACUCCUAUCUUCAGGCAGUCUCACAAGAUGUUCAUAUGCCAGUUCCUAAUUUCGUGUCUCUUGCUGAGGCAGUGCCAGACAUCGCACGGGAGAGCCAUGACAGGCUUUACAAAGCAAUCAACAUGUAUCUCAAGGUAGUCAUGCCAGCAUACUUUGAGCAAUCAUCAAGUUUGGUACUUGGAACUAAUGGUUUUACAUUGCAGGUGCAUCCGGAGAUAAGCAAAGAAGAGAAAAAGCGACUAUGCAGAAGUCUAGACUGCCAGAAGUUGUCUGCAGAGGUACGCGCCCACGCUGUGAAAAACGAGAGGAUGCCACUGAGAACCGUCGUCCAAGCCCUCUUCUUCGACCAAGAGAGCAGUUCCAAGGGAGUAUUAAGCCAAGCAGCGAGCCAAAAAGGUGAAAGACCCACUUCUGUGUGUUCACUUUAAUUUCUGUUUGGUGAGAAUUUGUUUUCCUUGUGCAAAAGAUGUAAUGCAUGAAGGACACUUGUGUCUAGCUUUUCAGUUUUUUGGUUGUGAAUAGUUUCAUGAUUCACUUGCCCACCUCUAGGAACUAAAUUCGUUUUUUUUUCUUAACUCAAGGAGACCAGAGAGUCACAGACUCCAACUUAUAGCUACUAACUGGUAUACCUAUAUGCGUAUGUGUGCCAAUUUAUCUGGUGUUUAUUUUCAAACCAUAAUUAAGUGUGAAGGAAAAUUCAUAUCAGACACCAUUUAAAGAGUGAGUCCAUGCGGGGAGCAACAAGUGACGAGGCCGGGACCCUUGUUUACCAUUCAACUCUCUCUCUCUCUCUCUCUCUCUCUCUCUCGGCAUCUAAUCUCACUAAACACUUUUUUGACAAUUUGAUCAUUACCACUUCUCUCUUUAUUGCUUUAGCCAUCUCUUUCUCCUUCUUCCUCCUCUCACAUAUCAUCAACCUUUGAGCACACCAGUCUUGUAAAUCAAUCAUCCUUUUGCUUUAUCUUCAGAGUUGUACAUAAACUACAGGUUUGAUUUUCUCAUUUACCAAAUACUUAUGAAUCAAGUUUCGGCUUGAAUAUUUAAUUCUCUUCCUUUUUAUCCCCCUUUUGUUCACUUUCUCAUCAUAUGUUUCUCUUGAACACAGAGAAGUCUAAGAUGAAGUUCAUGAAGAUCGGUACAAAGCCUGACACUUUCUAUACUCAAGAUGGUUCAAGGUUUGUUCCUCUAUCUCUCUGCCUCCAAAUUCCACAAACACACAUCUCUUUGAUUAUAUAUAUUUACACUGCAGGAUUUUGAUAACUGACUCACCCAACGAUCUCGUUAUUAGAAUCAACAACACCAGUUACCAUCUCCACAGAGUAUGUUUUGAUUGUCUUAUACUCUUGUAGCAACAUAAACACAUGUAUCAUGUAUGUUAUUCAGUGGUUUUGAUGUUGUUUGCAGUCUUCUCUUGUUCCAAAAUGUGGACUGUUGCGAAGGCUUUGUACUGAUUCAGAGGAGUCUGAUAGUGUUACCAUAGAGCUGAAUGACAUACCUGGAGGAGCCGAUGCGUUUGAGCUGUGUGCUAAGUUCUGCUACGGUAUCACCAUCAACCUCAGUGCUCAUAACCUUGUGGAUGCCCUCUGCGCCUCCAAGUUUCUCCGGAUGUCUGAUUCCGUUGAAAAGGGAAACCUGUUACCGAAGCUUGAAUCUUUCUUCCACUCCUGCGUUCUCCAAGGCUGGAAAGACUCCAUCGUCACUUUGCAGUCCACUGCCAAAUUGCCUGAAUGGUGUGAGAAUCUUGGAAUCAUCAGAAAGUGUAUAGAUUCGAUUGUUGAGAAGAUCCUCACUCCCACUGCACAGGUAUGUUCAUAUUUUUCACGUUUUGAGUCCAGAUGAUGUUCUUGCACAUCUAUUUGAUCUUUCUUUUUGUUUUGUAGGUCUCUUGGUCUCAUACAUACACCAGACCAGGCUACCAAAAGAGAAAACAUCACUCUGUUCCAAGAGACUGGUGGACGGAGGACAUAUCAGACCUGGACUUGGACUUGUUCCGCUGUAUUAUCACAGCAGCCAGGUCAAGCUUCACGCUGCCGCCUCAGCUCAUUGGUGAAGCUUUGCACGUAUACACCUGUCGUUGGCUACCAUACUUCAAAUCAAAAAGCCAUUCAGGUUUCUCUGUCAAAGAAAACGAAGCAGCGCUGGAAAGGCACCGACGUGUUGUUAACACGGUUGUGAACAUGAUUCCUGCAGAUAAAGGGUCGGUUUCAGAGGGCUUCUUGCUGAGACUUGUUAGCAUAGCUAAUUAUGUGGGAGCUUCUCUGACGACAAAGACUGAGUUGAUUAGAAAAGCUGGUCUGCAACUCGAGGAGGCAACUCUUGCAGACCUCUUGUUGCCUUCCCAGUCAUCCUCUCAUCAUCAUCGAUAUGAUACUGACUUGGUUGCUGCGGUUCUUGACAGUUUUCUAAUGCUCUGGAGAAGACAGACUUCUGCGCAUGUUUCUAGUAACA